CCCCGCGCCCCCCGCCCCCCCGCCGCGCCGCGCCGCGCCGCGCCUCCCUCCGCCGCGCCUUCCCCCAUUCUCCCGGAUUAAUUAAGGAGGCAGCGGCAGGAGGCUGAGUCCUGGCCGCGGGCCGGGGCCGGGGCGCCGCUGGCAGGAGCGCUUGGGGAUCCUCCAAGGUGACCAUGGCCUUGUUGGGGAAGCGCUGCGACAUUCCCACCAACGGCUGCGGGCCCGACCGCUGGAGCUCCGCCUUCACCCGCAAAGACGAGAUCAUCACCAGCCUCGUGUCUGCCUUAGAUUCCAUGUGCUCGGCGCUCUCCAAGCUGAAUGCGGAGGUGGCCUGUGUCGCUGUGCACGAUGAGAGCGCCUUCGUGGUGGGCACCGAGAAGGGGAGGAUGUUCCUGAGCACGCGGAAGGAGCUGCAAUCAGACUUCCUCAGGUUCUGCCGAGGGGCCCCAUGGAAGGAGCCGGAGGCAGAGCAUCCCAAGAAGGUGCCGCGGGGCGAGGGUGGCGGCCGGAACGUCCCUCGGUCUUCCCUGGAGCACGGCUCGGACGUGUACCUUCUACGGAAGAUGGUAGAGGAGGUGUUUGAUGUUCUUUAUAGCGAGGCCCUGGGAAGGGCCAGCGUGGUGCCCCUGCCGUACGAGAGGCUGCUCAGGGAGCCGGGGCUGCUGGCCGUGCAGGGGCUGCCCGAGGGCCUGGCCUUCCGGAGGCCAGCCGACUACGACCCCAAGGCCCUCAUGGCCAUCCUGGAGCACAGCCACCGUAUCCGCUUCAAGCUCAAGAGGCCGCUUGAGGAUGGCGGGCGGGACUCAAAGGCCUUAGUGGAGCUGAACGGCGUCUCCCUGAUAGCCAAGGGGUCUCGGGACUGCGGCCUGCAUGGCCAGGCCCCCAAGGGGCCACCCCAGGACCUACCCCCCGCCGCCACCACCUCCUCUGUGGCCAGCUUCCUGUACAGCAGUGCACUCCCUAACCACACCACGAGAGAGCUCAAGCAGGAGGCGCCCGCCUGCCCCCUUGCCGCCAGCGACCUGGGCCUUGGCCGGCCCGGGCCUGAGCCCAAGGCCUCUGGUGCCCAGGACUUCCCUGACUGCUGUGGACAGAAGCCCCCCGGGCCUGGUGGUCCUCUCAUCCAGAACGUCCACGCCUCGAAGCGCAUCCUCUUCUCCAUCGUCCAUGACAAGUCAGAGAAGUGGGACGCCUUCAUAAAGGAAACCGAGGACAUCAACACGCUCCGGGAGUGCGUGCAGAUCCUGUUUAACAGCAGAUAUGCGGAAGCCCUGGGCCUGGACCACAUGGUCCCCGUCCCCUACAGGAAGAUUGCCUGCGACCCAGAGGCCGUGGAAAUUGUGGGCAUCCCCGACAAGAUCCCCUUCAAGCGCCCCUGCACGUAUGGGGUCCCCAAGCUGAAGCGGAUCCUGGAGGAGCGACAUAGCAUCCACUUCAUCAUUAAGAGGAUGUUCGAUGAGCGAAUCUUCACAGGGAACAAGUUUACCAAAGACCCCACAAAGCUGGAGCCAGCCAGCCCACCGGAGGACACUUCUACAGAGGUCUCCCGUGCCACUGUCCUCGACCUGCCUGGGACCGCUCGGUCAGACAAGAACGGUGUGUCUGAAGACUGUGGGCCAGGAACGUCAGGGGAGCUGAGUGGGCUGAGGCCCAUUAAAAUCGAACCAGAAGAUCUAGAUAUCAUUCAGGUCACUGUCCCAGACCCUUCGCCAACCUCGGAGGAAAUGACAGACUCAAUGCCUGGGCAUCUGCCCUCGGAAGAUUCUGGUUAUGGGAUGGAGAUGCUGACUGAGAAAGGCCCCAGCGAGGACCCGCGGCCUGAGGAGAGGCCCACAGAAGACAGCCACGGUGACGUGAUCCGGCCCCUGCGGAAGCAGGUGGAACUGCUCUUCAACACGCGAUACGCCAAGGCCAUUGGCAUCUCGGAGCCCGUCAAGGUGCCCUACUCCAAGUUCCUGAUGUACCCGGAGGAGCUGUUUGUGGUGGGGCUGCCUGAAGGCAUCUCCCUCCGCAGGCCCAACUGCUUCGGGAUCGCCAAGCUCCGGAAGAUCCUGGAAGCCAGCAACAGCAUCCAGUUUGUCAUCAAGAGACCCGAGCUGCUCACCGAGGGAGUCAAAGAGCCCAUCGCGGACAGCCAAGAGAGGGAUUCCGGGGACCCUCUUGUGGACGAGAGCCUGAAGAGACAGGGUUUUCAAGAAAACUACGACGCUCGACUCUCGCGCAUCGACAUCGCCAACACGCUGCGGGAGCAAGUCCAGGACCUGUUCAAUAAGAAAUACGGAGAAGCCCUGGGCAUCAAGUACCCGGUCCAGGUCCCCUACAAGCGGAUCAAGAGUAACCCCGGCUCGGUGAUCAUCGAGGGGCUCCCCCCAGGCAUCCCCUUCCGAAAGCCCUGCACCUUUGGCUCCCAGAACCUGGAGAGGAUCCUUGCAGUGGCUGACAAGAUCAAGUUCACGGUCACCAGGCCUUUUCAAGGACUCAUCCCAAAGCCUGAAAGGUUCCACCGCUUGUGAACUGCGUGAUCUUGGACAAGUUAACUUCCAGGACCUGGACGGUCUCUGGACCUCCAGGUCACACAGAGCAGGGCCCCCAGCCCCGUGGCCCCCCGGCCCUCUCCCUUCAGCCGCCCGGAGGGUCAUUUCCUCUGGCCCCUGCCCCCCUCCCUGCCGUCAGCCCUCCCACCCCCUCCCCACCCUUCCAACGCUGUCACGCUCUCGAGAGCUCAAAAUAAAACCAUCCUUUCUCAAGUUUCUAAAGAUAUCACAGUUCCAGCGCCAGCCACAUGUUUCUCCACUUAAUUAUCUCUGCUUUUCUUUGUUAAUUAGGCUCCAGUAACGAUCUCCCUUCUGCCUUCCUUGGAAGAUCUGGCAUCUGCAGGGCGGGGCGUGGGGGCCCCUGUGGGCAGAUGCCCCACUGCCGGGCCCAGCCUUGGCACACUGCCUCCUUUCUUCCAGGCGGGGCAGCUCAGUGGGCGGCUGAACGGUGUCACGUCGGGAGGCCUGUGGGGAGAUGGGUCCCUGCAGCGCCAUCCCGCCCCUGGCUUGGCUAGGGGUCCCAGCCCUGUCCUCCCCGGGCCCUGCCAGUUGGGGAGGGGGACCCCAUGGUUCUUAGAGAUCCUUAGACUUGGGGGCUCCACGGAAGGAAGCCGUGGGGGGCUUCAGACUCUUCUGGAACAUUGCAGAAAACCACACAGAAGCCAGUCUCUUGGCUCAAACCACCGAAGCUCAUAGGAACAGCCAGCACCUUUAUCUGGGCUGGAAUGAGAUCGACUCGAAGGGUCGCUGGGCACGUGAACAGAAGUUUCUCGCUGGCUGAUAGAUGCAUCUUUGAGCCACGACAGUGGAGGCGUGGGGGCCAGGCACCAAGUAUAGGUCAGCACGUAUGGUUGACUGGCUGGACUCCAUCUUUCCAGCCUCCUAGGGAAGGGUCUGGCGACAAGAGGCCGCCUGGUGGGAGGUGGGGGUAGGGGACACACAGCCCUAGCCUUCUGAAGCCCCCCAGGCACGGGGACUGGGACAGUCCCCUUUGGGAGCCCAGGUGUAUUACUUCGUCCAUGAACUGUUCCAGGGUGUCUGUGGGCUGGUGCUGGGCUUUUGAUCAACACCAAGUGAAAAAAAAAAAAAAAAAAAAGCCUUGCUUUAUGGAGCUGACCUUCUGGUGUGGAUGCAGAGAAUAACGCACAAAAUGUAAAGAACGUUCAACGCGUGCUCAGGAGAAGCGGGGAAGCAGAUGGGAGAGGUGGAGUUUAUUUUUAGGGGGUUGCAACAUGAGCGAGGCGGUGGCCAGUGAGGGCCUUUGAGUAAUAAAGCAGGCGGUAGUGAGCCAGGGGGCUAGGGAAGAGCAGUGCAGGCAGAGAGGAAAAUUGCAAAGGCCCUGGGGUCACCUGCCGGGGCGUCAGAGGAAGGAGGUAGGAGGUGAGGUGGAAAUGGAGAGGCGGCAGAUUAUGUGAGGCUGGAUAGAACAUUGGCUUUUGCUCAUUCGCUGGGAGCCAGUGCAGGCCUCUGAGCAGGGGGGAGACAGAAUCCAAUUUAGGACUGAACAGAGUCCCUCUGGUUGCUCGGUGAGGACAGACAGGCUAGAAGCAGGAAGAGACAGAGGGAGGUGGAAGUCGCAGCCCAGUGGUGGUGCCCCUGGCGGGAGCGGUGAGGACAGUGGGGAGUCAGCGUCUCCAGGUCUAGUUGGUAGCUAAGGCCAGCAGGACUUGCUGGAGUCCCGUUUGACCUCGGAUUCCAGCUGGGCUUCUUGGAAGAUAAAGAUGAAGAUGACGCCAACAGACUAGGGGAGAAGGUGAUCCUCCGCGAGCAGGUGAAGGAGCUCUUCAAUGA